GUCUACGGCCAUACCUCCCUGAACAAGCCCGGUCCCAUCUGAUCUCAGAAGCUAAGCAGAGUCGGGCCUGGUUAGUACUUGGAUGGGGGACCACCUAGGUCGAUCAGGUGCUGUAGGCG
rnacentral:rRNA from 1 species